rnacentral:ncRNA from 1 species
UCUUCGAUAUCGACUCUUUCUAUCAUUGCAAAGCAGAAUUCGUCAAGCGUUGGAUUGUUUACUAGCAAUAAAGAACAUUAGCUAAAUUUAGACUAUUUUGAGUCGAGUU